rnacentral:lncRNA from 1 species
UAGAUCUGUUGAUGGAGAUCCCACCCGUGCCUCAAACGACCUCAGAUCAACUCCAGAUCUGAGAGUGACUUGUACCAAUCUCUUCUCAAGAGAUUUUAGGUCUUGGACCUGAUGUUUGGGCACCUGCAAGAGGGGGAGAGCAGAUCUGGUAGGCGGCUGCAAAGGGGAAGGGGCUAGCGCCUCCCUUCCUUUCUUUCCUUUUAUGGACUGGCGGUAAGAAACCCUAGGGUUUCUUGCUCCUGGUGCAUGGAAGAUUGCUGGAGAGAGAGGGAGAAG